AACGAACGCUGGCGGCAGGCUUAACACAUGCAAGUCGAGCGCCCCGCAAGGGGAGCGGCAGACGGGUGAGUAACGCGUGGGAACGUACCUUUUGGUUCGGAACAACUCCGGGAAACUGGAGCUAAUACCGGAUAAGCCCUAACGGGGAAAGAUUUAUCGCCGAAAGAUCGGCCCGCGUCUGAUUAGCUAGUUGGUGAGGUAACGGCUCACCAAGGCGACGAUCAGUAGCUGGUCUGAGAGGAUGAUCAGCCACACUGGGACUGAGACACGGCCCAGACCCGUACGGGAGGCAGCAGUGGGGAAUAUUGGACAAUGGGCGCAAGCCUGAUCCAGCCAUGCCGCGUGAGUGAUGAAGGCCUUAGGGUUGUAAAGCUCUUUUGUCCGGGAAGAUAAUGACUGUACCGGAAGAAUAAGCCCCGGCUAACUUCGUG
rnacentral:rRNA from 1 species